AGAGUUUGAUCAUGGCUCAGAAUGAACGCUGGCGGCAUGCCUAACACAUGCAAGUCGAGCGAGAAAGUUCCUUCGGGGACGAGUAAAGCGGCGGACGGGUGAGUAACACGUGAGAAUCUGCCCUUCAGUGAGGAAUAACUUCAAGAAAUUGAGGCUAAUACUGCAUACGUCCCUCCGGGGAGAAAGGUGGCUUUUAUGCUGCCGCUGAAGGAUGAGCUUGCGGUCUAUUAGUUUGUUGGUGGGGUAAUGGCCUACCAAGACGAUGAUGGAUAGCCGGCCUGAGAGGGUGUACGGCCACAUUGGAACUGAGAUACGGUCCAGACUCCUACGGGAGGCAGCAGUGGGGAAUAUUGCGCAAUGGGCGAAAGCCUGACGCAGCAAUGCCGCGUGGAGGAUGAAGGUCUUCGGAUUGUAAACCUCUGUUAGGUGGGAAGAAAAUCCCGAUGUUAAUAGCAUCGGGUUAUGACGGUACCACCAGAGAAAGCACCGGCUAACCUCGUGCCAGCAGCCGCGGUAAUACGAGGGGUGCUAGCGUUAUUCGGAAUUACUGGGCGUAAAGGGUGUGUAGACGGCAUGUUAAGUCCGCUGUUAAAUUCUCCGGCCUAACCGGAGAGCCGCAGUGGAAACUGGCAAGCUAGAGGGUGAGAGAGAGAAGUGGAAUUCCCGGAGUAGCGGUAAAAUGCGUAGAUCUCGGGAGGAACACCAAUGGCGAAGGCAGCUUCUUGGCUCAUUCCUGACGUUGAGACACGAAAGCGUGGGGAGCAAACAGGAUUAGAUACCCUGGUAGUCCACGCCGUAAACGAUGACCACUAGACGUUAGUUCGGCUUGCCGAAUUAGUGUCAAAGCUGACGCGUUAAGUGGUUCGCCUGGGGAUUACGGUCGCAAGACUAAAACUUAAAGGAAUUGACGGGGGUCCGCACAAGCGGUGGAACAUGUGGUUUAAUUCGACAAUACGCGAGGAACCUUACCUGGGCUUGACAUAUACACGACCGCCAUAGAAAUAUGGUUUUUUGGGUUUCGGCUCAAACGUGUUUACAGGUGCUGCAUGGCUGUCGUCAGCUCGUGUCGUGAGAUGUUGGGUUAAGUCCUUUAACGAGCGCAACCCUUGCCGUUAGUUGCUACUUGUCCUUGAGGCAACGCACUCUAGCGGGACUGCCUGGGAAACCAGGAGGAAGGUGGGGACGACGUCAAGUCAUCAUGGUCCUUAUGUCCAGGGCAACACACGUGUUACAAUGGCCGGUACAACGGGCAGCGAUCCCGCGAGGGUGAGCGAAUCCUUAUAAGCCGGUCUAAGUUCGGAUUGGGGUCUGCAACUCGACCCCAUGAAGUUGAAAUCGCUAGUGAUCGCGUAUCAGAACGGCGCGGUGAAUGCGUUCUCGGACCUUGUACACACCGCCCGUCACACCAUGGGAGCUGUUUGUGCCCAAAGUCAUCUUAGCCAACCCGAAAGGGAGGCGGAUGCCUAAGGCAUGGGCGGUGAUUGGGGUGAAGUCGUAACAAGGUA
rnacentral:rRNA from 1 species